rnacentral:rRNA from 1 species
ACGAACGCUGGCGGCGUGCUUAACACCUGCAAGUCGAACGGAAAGGCCCUGCUUUUGUGGGGUGCUCGAGUGGCGAACGGGUGAGUAACACGUGAGUAACCUGCCCUUGACUUUGGGAUAACUUCAGGAAACUGGGGCUAAUACCGGAUAGGAGCUCCUGCUGCAUGGUGGGGGUUGGAAAGUUUCGGCGGUUGGGGAUGGACUCGCGGCUUAUCAGCUUGUUGGUGGGGUAGUGGCUUACCAAGGCUUUGACGGGUAGCCGGCCUGAGAGGGUGACCGGCCACAUUGGGACUGAGAUACGGCCCAGACUCCUACGGGAGGCAGCAGUGGGGAAUAUUGCACAAUGGGCGGAAGCCUGAUGCAGCAACGCCGCGUGCGGGAUGACGGCCUUCGGGUUGUAAACCGCUUUCGCCUGUGACGAAGCGUGAGUGACGGUAAUGGGGAAAGAAGCACCGGCUAACUACGU